rnacentral:lncRNA from 1 species
UGUAGCCUAGUUGAUGGAGCUUGCGGACGAUGGCGGAUCCGACUAGGCCGCGGUGGCCAGCGACGAAGAUUUUGGCGGAUUUGUCAGACAUCUCUGCGAUAUAAGCGAAAAGGUCACAGGUUCGAUCUAUAUCAAUGUCAAAAUCGGCGACAUAUUUUUUUUUUUAGUUUCAGAAUAUUCCGUUGUAGAUUCCAUACAAAUGUUGAUAGACUAAUGAUUCGAUUCAGAUAGAGAGGAAAAGGGACGUACCUGAGCCGAUCGUUUCCGCCAUUUUCGAGUCGUGAAAAGUUCAAAGAGACGAAAGGUUGUGGAAAAAUCUGAGAGAUCGUG